AACGAACGCUGGCGGCGCGCCUAAUACAUGCAAGUCGAGCGGUAAGGCCCUUUCGGGGGUACACGAGCGGCGAACGGGUGAGUAACACGUGGGUGACCUGCCCUUAGCUCUGGGAUAAGCCUGGGAAACUGGGUCUAAUACCGGAUAUGACUCCAUGACGCAUGUUGUGGGGUGGAAAGCCUUGUGCGGCUGGAGAUGGGCCCGCGGCCUAUCAGCUUGUUGGUGGGGUGAUGGCCUACCAAGGCGA
rnacentral:rRNA from 1 species